rnacentral:lncRNA from 1 species
UUGAAACCAAGAAACAAAUUAGGAGGGCUGAUGGCAGAAAUUUCCCCUCCGAGACCAAAAUGCGCGGGCCUGGCCACGCUCGGGUUGGGUCAUCGGGUAUGGCCAUUAAACGGUGCCGUUUUGGAGUCACUGUGACAAACUCCAAACGGUACAAUUUAAGAACUAUUAUAAAGCUUAAAAAAAACCUAAAUGCUACACCGCCGC